CACGUAGGGUGCGAGCGUUGUCCGGAAUUAUUGGGCGUAAAGAGCUCGUAGGCGGUUUGUCGCGUCUGCUGUGAAAUUUCGGGGCUCAACCCCGAACUUGCAGUGGGUACGGGCAGACUAGAGUGUGGUAGGGGAGACUGGAAUUCCUGGUGUAGCGGUGAAAUGCGCAGAUAUCAGGAGGAACACCGAUGGCGAAGGCAGGUCUCUGGGCCAUAACUGACGCUGAGAAGCGAAAGCAUGGGGAGCGAACAGG
rnacentral:rRNA from 1 species